CAGCCGCCACGGUAAUACGAAGGGGGCUAGCGUUGUUCGGAUUUACUGGGCGUAAAGCGCACGUAGGCGGAUCGUUAAGUCGGGGGUGAAAUCCUGGAGCUCAACUCCAGAACUGCCUUCGAUACUGGCGAUCUUGAGUCCGGAAGAGGUGAGUGGAACUCCUAGUGUAGAGGUGGAAUUCGUAGAUAUUAGGAAGAACACCAGUGGCGAAGGCGGCUCACUGGUCCGGUACUGACGCUGAGGUGCUAAAGCGUGGGGAGCAAACAGGAUUAGAUACCCGUGUAGUCCCUGUCUCUUAUAC
rnacentral:rRNA from 1 species